UACCAGCACCCCGAGUGGCCGGGACGAUUAUUGGGCCUAAAGCAUCCGUAGCCGGUUCUACAAGUCUUCCGUUAAAUCCACCUGCUUAACAGAUGGGCUGCGGAGGAUACUAUGGAGCUAGGAGGCGGGAGAGGCAAGCGGUACUUAGUGGGUAGGGGUAAAAUCCGUUGAUCCAUUGAAGACCACCAGUGGCGAAGGCGGCUUGCCAGAAUGCGCUCGACGGUGAGGGAUGAAAGCUGGGGGAGCAAACCGG
rnacentral:rRNA from 1 species